CCUGGACUGGUGGUUCUCCAAUUCAUGGCGUCUGUGCAGGUACUUCCUGUCACUCCUUCUCUAUGUUGGACCCCCUGUUUCCACAUCUUUUUCACUGGCUUACUCCCUUGCAAGGAUGGAGAGCAUACUCCAGUACCUUCCCAAGAAAGGGUGUAUGAAAGAGCCAUUUCUCCAACCUGGCAGGUUGUCUCUCCAUCCCCGUGUCUGAGGACAGCAGCACCUGGUUCCGGGUCUCCCUUUCCAGUCUGCUGUCGUCUUCUCUGACCUCAGAACGUGGUCUGCACUCUCUGGCUUGGACAUCCGUGCCAGGUUGGUUCUAUCUGCCUGGAAUCCCAAGUUGUAAUUGUUCUCCAAGGCCUUGAAAAUGCUGUUUCCUCCAUGAAGACUUUGUGAUCCAUCUGACAAGAAGCCCUCUCUUCCUCUAAAACGUCAUACCAUUCGAUCUAGACCUGACUCGUGGUGUUUAUUUUCUACCAUG